rnacentral:rRNA from 1 species
GAUGAACGCUGGCGGCGUGCCUAAUACAUGCAAGUCGAGCGAACGGACGAGAAGCUUGCUUCUCUGAUGUUAGCGGCGGACGUGUGAGUAACACGUGUAUAACCUACCUAUAAGACUGGGAUAACUUCGGGAAACCGGAGCUAAUACCGGAUAAUAUUUUGAACCGCAUGGUUCAAAAGUGAAAGACGGUCUUUCUGUCACUUAUCGAUGGAUCCGCGCUGCAUUAGCUAGUUGUUAAGGUAACGGCUUACCAAGGCAACGAUGCAUAACCGAACUGAGAGGGUGAUCGGCCACCCUGGAACGGAGACACGGUCAAGACUCCUACGGGAGGCAGCAGUAGGGAAUCUUCCGCAACGGGCGAAAGCCUGACGGAGCAACGCCGCGUGAGUGAUGAAGGUCUUCGGAUCGUAAAACUCUGUUAUUAGGGAAGAACAUAUGUGUAAGUAACUGUGCACAUCUUGACGGUAACUAAUAAGAAAGCCACGGCUAACUACGUG